UACGUAGGUGGCAAGCGUUGUCCGGAUUUACUGGGCGUAAAGGAUGCGUAGGCGGAUAUUUAAGUCAGAUGUGAAAUACCCGAGCUCAACUUGGGUGCUGCAUUUGAAACUGGGUAUCUAGAGUGCGGGAGAGGAGAGUGGAAUUCCUAGUGUAGCGGUGAAAUGCGUAGAGAUUAGGAAGAACACCAGUGGCGAAGGCGACUCUCUGGACCGUAACUGACGCUGAGGCAUGAAAGCGUGGGGAGCAAACAGG
rnacentral:rRNA from 1 species